GACGAACGCUGGCGGCGUGCUUAACACAUGCAAGUCGAACGGUGAAGCUCCAGCUUGCUGGGGUGGAACAGUGGCGAACGGGUGAGUAACACGGGAGCAACCUGCCCCUGACUCGGGAAUAAGCGCUGGAAACGGCGUCUAAUACUGGAUACGAGAAGGGUCCGCAUGGGCACUUUCUGGAAAGUUGUUCGGUGGGGGAUGGGCUCGCGGCAUAUCAGCUUGUUGGUGAGGUAAUGGCUCACCAAGGCGACGACGGGUAGCCGGACUGAGAGGGCGACCGGCCACACUGGGACUGAGGCGCGGCCCGGACUCCUACGGGAGGCAGCAGUGGAGACUAUGGCCCAAUGGGCGAAAGCCUGAUGCAGCGACGCCGCGUGGGGGAUGACGGCCUUCGGGUUGUAAACCCCUUUCAGCAGGGAAGAAGCGAAAGUGACGGUACCUGAAGAAGAAGCACCGGCUAACUACGG
rnacentral:rRNA from 1 species